GAUGAACGCUAGCGAUAGGCUUAACACAUGCAAGUCGAGGGGCAGCGAGGAUUAGCAAUAAUUUGUCGGCGACCGGCGCACGGGUGAGUAACACGUAUGCAACCUACCCAUAACUGGGGAAUAACCCGUCGAAAGGCGGACUAAUACCGCAUAACAACAGUGAUCCGCGUGGUGAACUGUUUAAUGAUUUAUCGGUUAUGGAUGGGCAUGCGUUCCAUUAGGUAGUUGGGUGGGCAACGGCCCACCAAGCCUGCGAUGGAGAGGGGUUCUGAGAGGAAGAUCCCCCACACUGGUACUGAGACACGGACCAGACUCCUACGGGAGGCAGCAGUGAGGAAUAUUGGUCAAUGGGCGAGAGCCUGAACCAGCCAAAUCUCGUGAAGGAUGAAGAUAUUAUGUAUUGUAAACUUCUUUUACAGGGGAAUAAAGUGCACCACGUGUGUUGUUUUGUAUGUACCCUAGGAAUAAGGAUCGGCUAACUCCGUGCCAGCCGCCGCGGUAAUAC
rnacentral:rRNA from 1 species